rnacentral:rRNA from 1 species
GACGAACGCUGGCGGCGUGCCUAACACAUGCAAGUCGAACGGAACUGUUUUGAAAGAUUUCUUCGGAAUGAAUUUGAUUUAGUUUAGUGGCGGACGGGUGAGUAACGCGUGAGUAACCUGCCUUCAAGAGGGGAAUAACAUUCUGAAAAGAAUGCUAAUACCGCAUGACAUAUCGGAACCACAUGGUUUUGAUAUCAAAGAUUUUAUCGCUUGAAGAUGGACUCGCGUCCGAUUAGUUAGUUGGUGAGGUAACGGCUCACCAAGACCGCGAUCGGUAGCCGGACUGAGAGGUUGAACGGCCACAUUGGGACUGAGACACGGCCCAGACUCCUACGGGAGGCAGCAGUGGGGGAUAGUGCGCAAUGGGGGCAACCCUGACGCAGCAACGCCGCGUGAAGGAUGGAGGUUUUCGGAUUGUAAACUUCUUUUAUUAAGGACGAAAAAUGACGGUACUUAAUGAAUAAGCUCCGGCUAACUACGUG